GCUGACGAGUGGCGGACGGGUGAGUAAUGUCUGGGAAACUGCCUGAUGGAGGGGGAUAACUACUGGAAACGGUGGCUAAUACCGCAUAACGUCGCAAGACCAAAGAGGGGGACCUUCGGGCCUCUUGCCAUCAGAUGUGCCCAGAUGGGAUUAGCUUGUUGGUGAGGUAACGGCUCACCAAGGCGACGAUCCCUAGCUGGUCUGAGAGGAUGACCAGCCACACUGGAACUGAGACACGGUCCAGACUCCUACGGGAGGCAGCAGUGGGGAAUAUUGCACAAUGGGCGCAAGCCUGAUGCAGCCAUGCCGCGUGUAUGAAGAAGGCCUUCGGGUUGUAAAGUACUUUCAGCGGGGAGGAAGGUGUUGUGGUUAAUAACCACAGCAAUUGACGUUACCCGCAGAAGAAGCACCGGCUAACUCCGUGCCAGCAGCCGCGGUAAUACGGAGGGUGCAAGCGUUAAUCGGAAUUACUGGGCGUAAAGCGCACGCAGGCGGUCUGUCAAGUCGGAUGUGAAAUCCCCGGGCUCAACCUGGGAACUGCAUUCGAAACUGGCAGGCUUGAGUCUUGUAGAGGGGGGUAGAAUUCCAGGUGUAGCGGUGAAAUGCGUAGAGAUCUGGAGGAAUACCGGUGGCGAAGGCGGCCCCCUGGACAAAGACUGACGCUCAGGUGCGAAAGCGUGGGGAGCAAACAGGAUUAGAUACCCUGGUAGUCCACGCCGUAAACGAUGUCUACUUGGAGGUUGUGCCCUUGAGGCGUGGCUUCCGGAGCUAACGCGUUAAGUAGACCGCCUGGGGAGUACGGCCGCAAGGUUAAAACUCAAAUGAAUUGACGGGGGCCCGCACAAGCGGUGGAGCAUGUGGUUUAAUUCGAUGCAACGCGAAGAACCUUACCUGGUCUUGACAUCCACAGAACUUUCCAGAGAUGGAUUGGUGCCUUCGGGAACUGUGAGACAGGUGCUGCAUGGCUGUCGUCAGCUCGUGUUGUGAAAUGUUGGGUUAAGUCCCGCAACGAGCGCAACCCUUAUCCUUUGUUGCCAGCGAUUAGGUCGGGAACUCAAAGGAGACUGCCAGUGAUAAACUGGAGGAAGGUGGGGAUGACGUCAA
rnacentral:rRNA from 1 species